UAAUUACUUUCUUCGUUCCAAAAUUCUUAUCUUAGACUUAUAUAGAUAUGAAUGUAUCUAGUCAUAUUUAGUAUUUAGGUACAUUCGUUUCUAGAUAAAGCUAAGACAAGAAUUUUGUGACGGAGGGAGUACCAU
rfam:Hordeum vulgare subsp. vulgare, WGS project CAJW01000000 data, contig: morex_contig_8413